AUGGAAAUAAAGACAUGUUCCAACUGCUAGAAGUUCACCAUGUCCAUUCUCAAGAGCCAUGAGAGCCAGAGAGCCUCAAGAGCCAGAGAGAUCGUUGACUUCUGUGGGAAUCCCACUGUCGAGGUGGAUCUGUACACCGAAAAGGGUCUCUUCCGAGCUGCAGUGCCCAACGGUGCGUCCACUGGUAUCUACUAGGCCCUAGAACACUGAGACAAAGAUAAGACUCGCUUCAUGGGGAAAGGUGUCUCACAGGCUUUUGAGUGCAUCAAUAAAACUAUUGCACCUGCUCUGGUUUGCAAGAAAGUGAAUGUCGUGGAGAAAGAGAAGAUUGACCAGCUCAUGAUCGAGAUGGGCGGCACCGAGAAUAAGUCUAAAUUUGGUGCAAAUGCCAUCCUGGGAGUAUCCCUGGCUGUCUGCAAAGCUAGUGCCGUGGAAAAGGGCGUGUCCCUUUACCGUCACAUUGUUGACUUGGUGGGCAACCCUGAAGUCAUCCUGCCUGUCCCAGCUUUCAACGUGAUCAACGGCGGCUCUCAUGCUGGCAACAAGCUGGCCAUGCAAGAGUUCAUGAUCCUGCCUGUGGGGGCAUCCAGUUUCCGGGAAGCCAUGCGAAUUGGAGCAGAGGUGUACCACAACCUGAAGAAUGUCAUCAAGGAGAAGUACAGGAAGGGUGCCACCAAUGUGGGUGACUAGGGCGGAUUCACACCUAACAUCCUGGAGAACAAGGAGCACUGGAGCUGCUCAAGACUGCAAUUGCCAAGGCCCGGCUACACUGACCAGGUUGUCAUCGGCAUGGAUGUGGCCGCCUCCGAGUUCUACAGGUCUGGCAAGUAUGACCUGGACUUCAAGUCUCCAGAUGAACCCAGCAGGUACAUCACGCCUGACCAGCUGGCUGACCUAUACAAGUCCUUCAUCCAGGGCUACCCAGCGGUGUCCAUUGAAGACCCCUUUGACCAGGACGAUUGGGAUGCCUGGCAGAAGUUCGCAGCUAGUGCAGGCAUCCAGGUGGUGGGCGAUGACCUCACAGUGACCAACUCUAAGCAGAUUGCCAAGGCUGCAGGCGAGAAAUCCUGCAACUGCCUCCUGCUCAAAGUGAACCAGAUCAGCUCUGUGACCGACUCUCUGCAGGCGUGUAAGCUGACCCAGUCCAAUGGUUGGGGCGUCAUGGUGUCCCACCUAUCUGGGGAGACUGAGAACACUUUCAUCACUGACCUGGUAAUGGGGCUCUGCGCUGGGCAGAUCAAGACUGGUGCCCCUUGCCCAUCUGAGCACCUGGCCAAGUACAAUCAGAUUCUUAGAAUCGAGGAAGAGCAGGGCAGCAAAGCCAAGUUUGCUGGCAGGUCCUUCAGGAAACCCCUGACUAAUUAAAGCUGACGGGAGAUCCCUGGAGCCACCAGCUGCUUAGGUCCUCUGUCCCUGAUGUCAUCCAGGCGGCUCAAGGUCUGCCCAGUGCUUGCCCCUCCCGUUUCACUACUUCCUUAGACAUCCACACCUGACCACCAGGAACCCUGCUGGAGUCCCCAGCUUUGUGAUCAUGUGAUUGGUCUGAAUCAUUGUUUCUGUCACCUGACUUCCCAGCUAAUGUCUGGAGCCAUCGGAACCCCAGUGCACUCUCUAGAGUACCCACCAUCAAGACUCCACCAAUGGUUUACAUGCAAAAAUAAAAGCUGCAGAAGCUCAUGGAGGGAAAAGAAAAGAAAUGAGUGGAGUGGACAACUCUCGCUCCUUCCUGUUUAACUUUUUUCUCCCUUCUGGUGAUGAGGAUUAGCACAGGGUUUCAUCCAUUCUAAGUAAGUAAGUUAGCAGUCUCACUGAGUAGUACAUCAGCCUUCCAAGUUAAGAUGAAUAUUUAAGUGUUGGGCCUUGUACAAAUGCAAGUAUAGUUAUCUUUCUUCAUAUGAGUACAGCAUUUAAAAAUGUGCUAUCCAUUUUUCUCCCUUGAACAAUUAUCUCAAAUCUAACUUGUUAUCUAUAGUGACUAGGUAAAUAAAAGUGAAUUAUAGCAACAUGA